UGCAGUCGUACGAAGGCUUCGGCCUUAGUGGCGCACGGGUGAGUAACACGUGGGAACCUGCCUUCUGGUUCGGGAUAACGUCUGGAAACGGACGCUAACACCGGAUACGCCCUUCGGGGGAAAGUUUACGCCAGGAGAGGGGCCCGCGUCCGAUUAGGUAGUUGGUGGGGUAACGGCCUACCAAGCCGACGAUCGGUAGCUGGUCUGAGAGGAUGAUCAGCCACACUGGGACUGAGACACGGCCCAGACUCCUACGGGAGGCAGCAGUGGGGAAUAUUGGACAAUGGGGGCAACCCUGAUCCAGCAAUGCCGCGUGAGUGAUGAAGGCCUUCGGGUUGUAAAGCUCUUUCGCACGCGACGAUGAUGACGGUAGCGUGAGAAGAAGCCCCGGCUAACUUCGUGCCAGCAGCCGCGGUAAUACGAAGGGGGCUAGCGUUGUUCGGAAUUACUGGGCGUAAAGGGCGCGUAGGCGGCCCGUUCAGUCAGAUGUGAAAGCCCCGGGCUCAACCUGGGAAUUGCAUUUGAUACUGGCGGGCUUGAGUUCCGGAGAGGGUGGUGGAAUUCCCAGUGUAGAGGUGAAAUUCGUAGAUAUUGGGAAGAACACCGGUGGCGAAGGCGG
rnacentral:rRNA from 1 species